rnacentral:rRNA from 1 species
GACAGAGGGGGCGAGCGUUAUCCGGAGUUAUUGGGAGUAAAGGGUACGUAGGCGGAUGGUCAAGUCUGGGGGUAAAGACCACAGCUUAACUGUGGGGGGGCCUUGGAUACUGAUCGGCUGGAGUGGGUGAGCGGUUUGGGGAAGUCCCGGUGUAGCGGUGAAAUGCGUAGAUAGCGGGAAGAACACCUGUGGCGAAAGCGCUCGACUGGGCCCUGACUGACGCUGAUGUACGAAAGCGAGGGGAGCGAAUGGG